rnacentral:rRNA from 1 species
CCUACGGGGGUCAGCAGUGGGGAAUAUUGGACAAUGGGCGAAAGCCUGAUCCAGCCAUGCCGCGUGUGUGAAGAAGGCCUUCGGGUUGUAAAGCACUUUCAGUGGGGAAGAAAGCCUUGGGGCUAAUACCCUCGAGGAAGGACAUCACCCACAGAAGAAGCACCGGCUAACUCCGUGCCAGCAGCCGCGGUAAUACGGAGGGUGCGAGCGUUAAUCGGAAUUACUGGGCGUAAAGCGCGCGUAGGCGGUCUGAUAAGCCGGUUGUGAAAGCCCCGGGCUCAACCUGGGAACGGCAUCCGGAACUGUCAGGCUAGAGUGCAGGAGAGGAAGGUAGAAUUCCCGGUGUAGCGGUGAAAUGCGUAGAGAUCGGGAGGAAUACCAGUGGCGAAGGCGGCCUUCUGGACUGACACUGACGCUGAGGUGCGAAAGCGUGGGUAGCAAACAGGAUUAGAUACCCCUGUAGUC